rnacentral:lncRNA from 1 species
GAGAAUAAUAAUUCGAAUGAUUCAUGAAUUAAAGUCACUCUUUGCUGCACGUUUCUGCAUGAUCUCUUAUUCGUCCUUUGAAAUGUUUUAAGUAAUCAAUUGAUUUGUUGAAGUAGAAAUUUGUUGCUGGUGAUGAACUGAGUAGUAGUUUGCGUGGAAAAUAUUAGAUAUUAUUGUUCUGUUGAUAAAAAAAAAAUUAGAUCUGUAUAAUGUUUUGAUGUGUUUAAAAAAAUUAUUUACCUUGGAAAAGUUUAGGAAUUAUGCUUGUGAUGAUGACAACUUUAAAUUUCCUAUUAUUCUUGCUUUGUAGGUGAUGUUAGGAGUUUUCAAGGCUCCAAAGACAAAUGAUGUAGUAUAAAAGAUUGUCGAACCAAUUCUAAGGGAUU